rnacentral:snRNA from 1 species
CCGUUCGGCGGAAGCGUCGUUC